rnacentral:rRNA from 1 species
GACGAACGCUGGCGGCGUGCUUAACACAUGCCAGUCGAACGGAAAGGCCCUGCUUUUGUGGGGUGCUCGAGUGGCGAACGGGUGAGUAACACGUGAGUAACCUGCCCUUGACUUUGGGAUAACUUCAGGAAACUGGGGCUAAUACCGGAUAGGAGCUCCUGCUGCAUGGUGGGGGUUGGAAAGUUUCGGCGGUUGGGGAUGGACUCGCGGCUUAUCAGCUUGUUGGUGGGGUAGUGGCUUACCAAGGCUUUGACGGGUAGCCGGCCUGAGAGGGUGACCGGCCACAUUGGGACUGAGAUACGGCCCAGACUCCUACGGUAGGCAGCAGUGGGGAAUAUUGCACAAUGGGCGGAAGCCUGAUGCAGCAACGCCGCAUGCGGGAUGACGGCCUUCGGGUUGUAAACCGCUUUCGCCUGUGACGAAGCGUGAGUGACGGUAAUGGGUAAAGAAGCACCGGCUAACUACGUG